UGGCAGCUCAUGCACAGAUAUACUGUUUUGACUAUCAGUUUGUAUUAUGAUCCGUUCCAGUUUCAAUAUAUAAACAAGUUAUACCACAAAGAGCUUUCAGAGGUGAUCCUGACUGCGCUGGAAGAGCCGAAAGAAGUGGCCACCAACAACAACCCCCCUCACCCACUCAACCUUCUUCUCCCUCUCAACCUCCCUCUCGGCCCUCAGCAACCAUUCCCCAUUCAACCUCCCUCUCCCCUCAACCUCCCAUCCCAAUUUAACCACCCUCUCCCCCUCAACCUCCUGCCCUCACUCAAUCUCCCUCUCAACCUCUCAACCCCAUUCAAUCUCCCUCUCCCCCUCAAGCUCCCGCACCCAUUCAACCACUCUCUCCCCCUCAACCUCCUGCCCCAUUUAACCUUCCCUCUCCCCUCAACCUCCCACCCCCCAUUCAACCUCCCUCUCCCCCUCAACCUCCCACCACCAUUCAAUCUCCUUCUCCCCCUCAGUCUCCGACACCCAUUCAACCACCCUCUUCCCCUCAACCUCCUGCCCCCAUCCAAGAAGCAAACCCUGGUGGGGAAGAAGAGGAAGAGGAGUGUGGGCCUAUGGAGGAGUAUGCUGACUUUGGAGUUCGCAAUGCAGACAUACCGCCAACAUCCCCCGGUGGUGAUGAAGAGGAGGAGGAGUAUGGCCCUAUCGAGGAGAAUGCUGAGGUUGGAGAUCCGAAUCGGGCAAUCCGUUUGUCCCUGCAGCAAAUGAAAGGGCAUGUGCAGGGCAUCCUUGAAGAAAUACAUAUUUUAUUAAAUAUCUUAAAUUCUUCUUAUUUCGUCUUGAGGAAGUCUCUGGUUGCUAGGAGACGAAACGCGUUGACGCCCCUUUCACAUUUGAGUUAAUUUCAGUGGACAUUGUUGCAGCACGGAUCAGCUCUCUACCUUUACAGUUCCCGCACUCCGCUGUUUAUCCAUACUGCAGCCGACCAGCUUCUUUCAGCCAAACCUCCGCUAUGAGGUACAAGUAUUACAGCCACUUGCGGCACAGCUGUUCCUGGACACCGCUGCCGCUAGCCGGACGUCUACGGACCACCGCUGUGUGGCUGAUACAGCGCCGGCCAAUUGCGGCUUCAUUGUUACUUACCGCUGCCGCCAGCCAAGCUGAUGACGUCCUCCGCUGCAAGGCUUUCAAUACAGCAUUACCCUGCAAAUCACUGACGGCCUUUUUAACAGAGAUUCUAGAUCACCAGCGGGUCUGUUUUACAUUUGUUAUAGAGGCAGAAAUCAAAUCACUUUCCUUCACCACGUGCAGUUGCACACAGGACCCUGUAGCAAAAUUCAGGAACCAGCAACUAUUACUGUUUGCAUGCCUCAAAUAACAUAUUAAUAACUGUGGAGCUAUCUGUGGAAAUUAUUCAUAAUAUUACACUGGGACGCCAGUGUUACAACUAACAAUUAUUCAAUUUAGAGAGAGCUUUUUCCCUGUUUGAAAUUUUUAGCUCAGUUUCAUUACAUGUUGUCUUAACUAGCACGUUCUGAGAGAUAGUUACAUUAACACUAUCUAUUGUGCAUUUAAGAAGUUGCAACCUCUGUUUCUUUUAAUUUACUACAUAUGUAUUAACUGCUUGUUUAUUUUGUGUGUC